rnacentral:tRNA from 2 species
GUUGCGGUGGCCGAGGGGUUUAGGGCGUUGGACUCGAAAUCCAAUGGGAUCUUCCCGCGCAGGUUCGAAUCCUGCCCGCAACG